ACUCAAAUGAAUUGACGGGGGCUCGCACAAGUGGUGGAGCAUGCGGUUUAAUUCGAUGCUACGCGAAAAACCUUACCAACCCUUGACAUGGCGAUUUUGGACCACAGAAAUGAGGUCCUUCGGUUCGGCCGGGUCGCACACAGGUGUUGCAUGGCUGUCGUCAGCUCGUGUCGUGAGAUGUUGGGUUAAGUCCCGCAACGAGCGCAACCCUCAUUCUUAUUUGCCAGCGGGUAAUGCCGGGAACUAUAAGGAAACUGCCGGUGAUAAGCCGGAGGAAGGUGGGGACGAUGUCAAGUCAUCAUGGCCCUUAUGGGUUGGGCUACACGCGUGCUACAAUGGUAACUACAGAGGGAAGCAAGACGGCAACGUGGAGCAAAUCCCUAAAAGUUAUCUCAGUUCGGAUUGUCCUCUGCAACUCGAGGGCAUGAAGUUGGAAUCACUAGUAAUCGCGGAUCAGCAUGCCGCGGUGAAUACGUUCUCGGGCCUUGUACACACCGCCCGU
rnacentral:rRNA from 1 species